AGCGAACGCUGGCGGCAUGCCUAACACAUGCAAGUCGCACGGUCGGGGGGUGACCUUCGGCAGUGGCGGACGGGUGAGUAACGCGUAGGGAUCUAUCCUUGGAUGGGGGACGAACCGCGGGAAACCGCGGCUAAUACCGCAUGAUGCCUGAGGGCCAAAGCUCGCGAGAGCGUCUGGGGAGGAGCCUGCGUCCGAUUAGCUUGUUGGUGGGGUAACGGCCCACCAAGGCGUCGAUCGGUAGCUGGUCUGAGAGGAUGAUCAGCCACACUGGGACUGAGACACGGCCCAGACUCCUACGGGAGGCAGCGAGUGGGGAAUAUUGGACAAUGGGCGCAAGCCUGAUCCAGCAAUG
rnacentral:rRNA from 1 species